AAUCCAUAGGUUAAUGAGGCGAACCGGGGGAACUGAAACAUCUAAGUACCCCGAGGAAAAGAAAUCAACCGAGAUUCCCCCAGUAGCGGCGAGCGAACGGGGAGGAGCCCAGAGCCUGAAUCAGCAUGUGUGUUAGUGGAAGCGUCUGGAAAGGCGCGCGAUACAGGGUGACAGCCCCGUACACAAAAGCGCAUGUGCUGUGAGCUCGAUGAGUAGGGCGGGACACGUGGUAUCCUGUCUGAAUAUGGGGGGACCAUCCUCCAAGGCUAAAUACUCCUGACUGACCGAUAGUGAACCAGUACCGUGAGGGAAAGGCGAAAAGAACCCCGGCGAGGGGAGUGAAAAAGAACCUGAAACCGUGUACGUACAAGCAGUGGGAGCACCCUUUGGGGUGUGACUGCGUACCUUUUGUAUAAUGGGUCA
rnacentral:rRNA from 2 species